UAUAAUAAUACUAUCAAUAAGCAUUUUUCUACGGCUGGCCAUGCUUUCCACUUGGCUACCCCUACCCCGGUCAAGAGCCCUGCACCCCCCACAGCAACCCACCCAAGCCUCCCCUGUUUCUCCUUCACCCAAAUCCAGAUAGCUGAUGUUCUGAAAGAGCAGCAAAAUCUGGAUCCCUACAAAUCAGCCGGGCUAGACAAUCUGGACCCUCUCUUUCUAAAAUUAUCUGCCGAAAUUGUUGCAACCCCUAUUACUAGCCUGUUCAACCUCUCUCUCGUAUCGUCUGAGAUUUCCAAAGAUUGGAAAGCUGCCGCGGUCAUUCCCCUCUUCAAAGGGGGAGCCAAACUGCUACAGACCUAUAUAUAUAUCCUAACUUGCCUUUCUAAGGUCUUCGACAGAGACAUUACUGUGCAGCCGUAUUCAUCGACCUGGCCAAGGCUUUCGACUCUGUCAAUCACCACAGUCUUAUCGGCAGACUCAACAGCCUUGGUUUCUCAAAUUAAUGCCUUGCCUGGUUUACCAACUACUUCUCUGAUAGAGUUCAGUGUGUCAAAUAGGAGGGCCUGUUGUCUGGACCUCUGGCAGUCUCUAUGGGGGAGCCACAGUGGUCAAUCCUCGGGCAGACUCUCUUCUGAUGUCGCUCUUGCUGCUGGUGAUUCUCUGAUCCAUCUCGACGCAGACGACACCAUUCUGUCUACCUCUGGCCCAUCUUUGGACACUGUGAUAACUAACCUCCAGAUGAGCUUCAAUGCCAUACAACUCUCCUUCCGUGGCCUCCAACUGCUCUUAAAUGCUAGUAAAACUAAACACAUGCUCUUCAACCAAUCACUGCCCGCACCUGCCCACCCGUCCAGCAUCACCACUCUGGACUGUUCUGACUUAGAAUAUGUGGACAACUACAAAUACCUAGGUGUCUGGUUAGACUGUAUACUCUCCUUCCAGACUCACAUUAAGCAUCCCCAAUCCAAAAUUAAAUCUAGAAUCAGCUUCCUAUUUUGCAACAAAGCAUCCUUCACUCAUGCUGCCAAACAUACCCCUGUAAAACUUACCAUCCUACCAAUCCUUGACUUUGGAUGA
rnacentral:lncRNA from 13 species